CUCCCCUCCCAUCCCCUCCUUUCUCCUCCUCUAUGCCUAUCUCGUCAUCCCGGCGGUGGCGUCCCACACAAAGCAUGUCCUGCCAUGGAUCUACCAUCAUACCGGAUCUUUUCUGCCAUGGCUUGGAGGCGUAUCGAAGCUUUGCCAGCCGCUGCCGUAAUGAAGUCUCAACGACGGCCAGAUCUUUCUUCUUAACUGGAUUUCUUCUUCCAUUGUAAUCGAGUGGCUGGCCGGCCGACACCAAGUCAAACUUGCUACCCCUGGUUUUUUUCUCUCUAUUUUUUGGGUAAGAUUGUUCGGAUCUCGCUCCCCUCGUUCCUUAACAUUUAUUCAAGACUAAUCACCUCCAAGUUUGAUCUCUUUUUUCUCACCCUCAGAUUUGAUGUCGGUGCCUGCUGGAUGUGCUCGUGACCGGCUGUAUACACUGUUUCUGAUUCAACCUUGUUGUUCAUGUGCACUAUGUGGUGUAAAUUGUGCAGACACGGGUCGAUUUGAUCUGAUAACGAACUGCUUAUGUCCGAUCAAUUCAACCCUAUCUGCAGCCAUGGAUCUCACGGUGCAGUUGUCGUUCGAGUCUGAUAGACUGCUGGUUGUGUGAUGAAUUUUCUAGUGGAUUGUCUUCGCCUCAAUCCCAUCCGAUUUCUGGCUGCAAGAGAACGUGCGUCUUAACAGUGUACUACGUGUAUGCAUAUCGAGAAGUUCGGGUUGUGCGGCGACGACGGCGGUGGAGCCCCGUCCUUAGGUUGCCGGAUAUGCUGCUUGAUGUCCUUGAUCGCUUCUAGGCCCGCGCAGGCAUGGCCUCCUCAUGUAAUGGUCUUCUACUCUAUA